AGAGAGGUCUCAGAAUUGGUAGAUGGUUACCUGAAAACAGGGGGCGUAAAGCCUUGGAGGUUCGAGUCCUCCCCUCUCUUUA
rnacentral:tRNA from 1 species